UGGAAACAUCAGAAGCUGGGGAGCUGCCGCUGCGACGCGCAUCCAGCGAUUUGUGCCGGCUCUAAGGGCUCAGAGGAUUCCAGGUGGGACACGGGAGUCGGGAUGCACGGAGCACAUGCCGAGCAUCUCCUUCGGGGGAAAGGAUGCUGCUCUGUCUGAUGGGGACCAGAGCAGACCAGAACUCAGUCCACUGCACAAUUGUCUGCACUUCCUUUGGGAGGAAGCUUCAUUUUCAGAGGGGGAAAGGAAGAUUCUAAUCACUGUUCUCACCCUGGAGUGCUGAGGAUAUUUCCAAGCACCUGAGCCCCUGGAGAUAUUUGGCAACUUGAAAAGUGAUGCUGGUGCCUUGGGGUGGACUCCAUGGUCUGUAUAAAGAUUUGUAGGGUCCAGGAAAAGGCUUUUCCAGCCUGACCAUUUCUGGGAUUCUAUAAAUCCAUGUGGGACUCAGCUGCCCCUGGCUAACUCCAGCUCACUAAAACUUUCAUCAAGGCGUGCUGUUACUGCGGAAUUUAGUGCCAAAGUCAACACCAGGAUUUGUGGGGUCGCUGGAGAUGGAUGGACACCUGCUGACAGGGAAGGGUUGUUUAAUCCUAAAGCUUUUUCCAUGGAACACCUUUGGAUAUGUGACAGCCACAGAGGGAACCUAUAUUACAUUCCAGUAGUGUAGUUAUAUUGCUGAUAUUCAACCAAAAAGAGAGAUAUAAGAAUAAGAAACUCUGCAAAUGAACAUUAAUACAUUGCGUGAUUCAGUUCAAUGAUUUAUUAAUAUUCAUAAAUGCCUUUAAAAAUUAGUCAUGGCUCAUGUAGAUCAUUGAUUUCACCCUAAUCCCUACAAAGCAUUUGGAAAUGCCACAGCAUUCCAAGGGGGAAAUAUGAUACUGGAAAGCUGAAAAAUGCUUUCCAGCAGAGCUUGUACUCUUAGUCCCUGCUAACCAAAGAGAAUCUGAUUUAGAAAGGUGUCUAUAAAUGGGAAACUGGCAAGGAGUUUAUAUGGUACCUAAAGCAAACAUUUCCAAAUUGUAAUGCUGUGUUAUCUGCUUCAAUAUGGAUUUCACUGCCUAGUUUCAGGCAUUUCACUUUGAAAGCAUUAACUGAAAUGUAGAAAGUCCAGUGCCAAGCAUAGUUAAUGAAGAAUAAAAAUAAUUCCACUGAA